rnacentral:rRNA from 1 species
UGGUGGAGUGAUUUGUCUGCUUAAUUGCGAUAACGAACGAGACCUUAACCUGCUAACUAGCCCGUAUUGCUUUGGCAGUACGCUGGCUUCUUAGAGGGACUAUCGGCUCAAGCCGAUGGAAGCUUGAGGCAAUAACA